rnacentral:sRNA from 2 species
GCGCCCGUCAUCGGGGAGUAGCGGCCUCCACAACGGAGGAGCCGACGUCAACAUACUUGGUCCACAGACCAUGGCGUCGGCGGCAUCUGCCAGGCGAGACCUUUGACCUUUGCAUCAUGCGCCGGGGCUGGCGAUGGGUGCCAAGGUCAUUGGUUUUCCAUCGCCAGCCCCC